GCAUGGUAGUGGAUUUAUUGUGGGCUCUUCUCUGUGGCCUCGCCUAGUGUGCCCAUGCCAGAGUAAACUGCAGCCUUGAACCACUGUCCAGCCUCCUUACCUGUGGCUUAUAAGCACUGAAGGGGGUUGUACAGCA